UUCAGUGACUUUAGGACAAAUUAAU
rnacentral:piRNA from 1 species